GACUUAUGCAGAAGAAAAGGGACCCUUCAUAUAAAUUAUUUGCAUGCUCAUAGUUAUGAACUUAAUACACUUUGCCUGGCAUUCAUAACCAUUAUACUUCCUCCUGCCCAAAUUUGUUGUCCUACGUAAUAGUGUUCCACUUUGCGCCUACCACUGGUAGCUGGAAAUUAGAUAUAAUAAUAAUCAGUUUCCUUGCUAGAUUUGUUUCCUUAUAGGAUAUCCUGCCGAUUUGAUCUAUUUUUGGCUAGAGCACAUGGGAUCAAACCAGAGGUAAUUACUCGUGGUUUCAAGGCUGCGCAAAGGAGAGGAGGCAUGGUUCAAGGUCGUCUUCUGGCACUGGUUUGCCAGCUAGGUCCUUGACAACAUCUGCGCCUCAUAGUUUAUUAGGCAUGGACCCAGACACAAAUUCUGAAACUUCAAUAAUUUGGGUGGUCUAAUAGUUCCUGUAUAGCUUGAUGUCCUAUCAGGUGUAAUAUUUUGU